rnacentral:rRNA from 1 species
CAUAGGUUAAUGAGGCGAACCGGGGGAACUGAAACAUCUAAGUACCCCGAGGAAAAGAAAUCAACCGAGAUUCCCCCAGUAGCGGCGAGCGAACGGGGAGGAGCCCAGAGCCUGAAUCAGUGUGUGUGUUAGUGGAAGCGUCUGGAAAGGCGCGCGAUACAGGGUGACAGCCCCGUACACAAAAAUGCACAUACUGUGAGCUCGAUGAGUAGGGCGGGACACGUGGUAUCCUGUCUGAAUAUGGGGGGACCAUCCUCCAAGGCUAAAUACUCCUGACUGACCGAUAGUGAACCAGUACCGUGAGGGAAAGGCGAAAAGAACCCCGGCGAGGGGAGUGAAAAAGAACCUGAAACCGUGUACGUACAAGCAGUGGGAGCCUCUUAAUGGGGUGACUGCGUACCUUUUGUAUAAUGGGUCAGCGACUUAUAUUCUGUAGCAAGGUUAACCGAAUAGGGGAGCCGAAGGGAAACCGAGUCUUAACUGGGCGUUAAGUUGCAGGGUAUAGACCCGAAACCCGGUGAUCUAGCCAUGGGCAGGUUGAAGGUUGGGUAACACUAACUGGAGGACCGAACCGACUAAUGUUGAAAAAUUAGCGGAUGACUUGUGGCUGGGGGUGAAAGGCCAAUCAAACCGGGAGAUAGCUGGUUCUCCCCGAAAGCUAUUUAGGUAGCGCCUCGUGAAUUCAUCUCCGGGGGUAGAGCACUGUUUCGGCAAGGGGGUCAUCCCGACUUACCAACCCGAUGCAAACUGCGAAUACCGGAGAAUGUUAUCACGGGAGACACACGGCGGGUGCUAACGUCCGUCGUGAAGAGGGAAACAACCCAGACCGCCAGCUAAGGUCCCAAAGUCAUGGUUAAGUGGGAAACGAUGUGGGAAGGCCCAGACAGCCAGGAUGUUGGCUUAGAAGCAGCCAUCAUUUAAAGAAAGCGUAAUAGCUCACUGGUCGAGUCGGCCUGCGCGGAAGAUGUAACGGGGCUAAACCAUGCACCGAAGCUGCGGCAGCGACACUAUGUGUUGUUGGGUAGGGGAGCGUUCUGUAAGCCUGUGAAGGUGGCCUGUGAGGGUUGCUGGAGGUAUCAGAAGUGCGAAUGCUGACAUAAGUAACGAUAAAGCGGGUGAAAAGCCCGCUCGCCGGAAGACCAAGGGUUCCUGUCCAACGUUAAUCGGGGCAGGGUGAGUCGACCCCUAAGGCGAGGCCGAAAGGCGUAGUCGAUGGGAAACAGGUUAAUAUUCCUGUACUUGGUGUUACUGCGAAGGGGGGACGGAGAAGGCUAUGUUGGCCGGGCGACGGUUGUCCCGGUUUAAGCGUGUAGGCUGGUUUUCCAGGCAAAUCCGGAAAAUCAAGGCUGAGGCGUGAUGACGAGGCACUACGGUGCUGAAGCGACAAAUGCCCUGCUUCCAGGAAAAGCCUCUAAGCAUCAGGUAACAUCAAAUCGUACCCCAAACCGACACAGGUGGUCAGGUAGAGAAUACCAAGGCGCUUGAGAGAACUCGGGUGAAGGAACUAGGCAAAAUGGUGCCGUAACUUCGGGAGAAGGCACGCUGAUAUGUAGGUGAAGCGACUUGCUCGUGGAGCUGAAAUCAGUCGAAGAUACCAGCUGGCUGCAACUGUUUAUUAAAAACACAGCACUGUGCAAACACGAAAGUGGACGUAUACGGUGUGACGCCUGCCCGGUGCCGGAAGGUUAAUUGAUGGGGUUAGCGGUAACGCGAAGCUCUUGAUCGAAGCCCCGGUAAACGGCGGCCGUAACUAUAACGGUCCUAAGGUAGCGAAAUUCCUUGUCGGGUAAGUUCCGACCUGCACGAAUGGCGUAAUGAUGGCCAGGCUGUCUCCACCCGAGACUCAGUGAAAUUGAACUCGCUGUGAAGAUGCAGUGUACCCGCGGCAAGACGGAAAGACCCCGUGAACCUUUACUAUAGCUUGACACUGAACAUUGAGCCUUGAUGUGUAGGAUAGGUGGGAGGCUUUGAAGUGUGGACGCCAGUCUGCAUGGAGCCGACCUUGAAAUACCACCCUUUAAUGUUUGAUGUUCUAACGUGGGCCCCUUACCGGGGUUGCGGACAGUGUCUGGUGGGUAGUUUGACUGGGGCGGUCUCCUCCUAAAGAGUAACGGAGGAGCACGAAGGUUGGCUAAUCCUGGUCGGACAUCAGGAGGUUAGUGCAAUGGCAUAAGCCAGCUUGACUGCGAGCGUGACGGCGCGAGCAGGUGCGAAAGCAGGUCAUAGUGAUCCGGUGGUUCUGAAUGGAAGGGCCAUCGCUCAACGGAUAAAAGGUACUCCGGGGAUAACAGGCUGAUACCGCCCAAGAGUUCAUAUCGACGGCGGUGUUUGGCACCUCGAUGUCGGCUCAUCACAUCCUGGGGCUGAAGUAGGUCCCAAGGGUAUGGCUGUUCGCCAUUUAAAGUGGUACGCGAGCUGGGUUUAGAACGUCGUGAGACAGUUCGGUCCCUAUCUGCCGUGGGCGCUGGAGAACUGAGGGGGGCUGCUCCUAGUACGAGAGGACCGGAGUGGACGCAUCACUGGUGUUCGGGUUGUCAUGCCAAUGGCACUGCCCGGUAGCUAAAUGCGGAAGAGAUAAGUGCUGAAAGCAUCUAAGCACGAAACUUGCCCCGAGAUGAGUUCUCCCUGACUCCUUGAGAGUCCUGAAGGAACGUUGAAGACGACGACGUUGAUAGGCCGGGUGUGUAAGCGCAGCGAUGCGUUGAGCUAACCGGUACUAAUGAACCGUGAGGCUUAACCUUACAACGCCGAAG